GACGAACGCUGGCGGCGUGCUUAACACAUGCAAGUCGAACGGAAAGGCCCUGCUUUUGUGGGGUGCUCGAGUGGCGAACGGGUGAGUAACACGUGAGUAACCUGCCCUUGACUUUGGGAUAACUUCAGGAAACUGGGGCUAAUACCGGAUAGGAGCUCCUGCUGCAUGGUGGGGGUUGGAAAGUUUCGGCGGUUGGGGAUGGACUCGCGGCUUAUCAGCUUGUUGGUGGGGUAGUGGCUUACCAAGGCUUUGACGGGUAGCCGGCCUGAGAGGGUGACCGGCCACAUUGGGACUGAGAUACGGCCCAGACUCCUACGGGAGGCAGCAGUGGGGAAUAUUGCACAAUGGGCGGAAGCCUGAUGCAGCAACGCCGCGUGCGGGAUGACGGCCUUCGGGUUGUAAACCGCUUUCGCCUGUGACGAAGCGCGAGUGACGGUAAUGGGUAAAGAAGCACCGACUAACUACGUG
rnacentral:rRNA from 1 species